UCAGCAUGCUUUCUGCGUGCUGCAGGAAGUUAAACUUGGGAGAGGAAGUUGACACGUGACAAAACAAGUCGCUUCGCAAACGAAGUAGCACCUCUAUGGCUUUUGAAGUUGUCAGUUCUGGUGGUUGUUGCAACUACUUGUUUUCAGGGCGUCGCUGUCCUUGCGUGAGUACGGUGUCACUACAAGUUCUGCGGACUCAGCAUGAAGGCACUCUAGCAUCAUCAGUCUAAUUAACCUUCCUGAGGGCCAGGCGCCGGACAUUUAAUGAGAUGGUCACAAAAAUCUUUACAGGCAAUAGGAGUCACAAAAGAGCUUUGACACUUCCGCAGCAGGAGCCAACAUAAGCGACGACGACCAAAUACAGUUGGACGCUGAAGCAAGACAAACCAUGGUGCAAAGGCGUAUUAGGUCUCAAAGGCUAUAGUUUAGUGGGAUUAACGCAUCUCAUCUCUUCGAAACGAAGAGCAGUUGGUCUCCAAUGGAAUAUCUGCGUAUCCAAUUAGAAUAGUGAUGUGGUAGUUUCUUCCACGCGUAGAUUUUAUUGGAAACUGAAGCGAAGACUGGAAUAAUUUGCGUGGGAGAAAUUCAACUUCCACAUCGAAUCAAUGCGCGAACUUUGUAGGCCGUGGCCAUUACUUUUUACUACAGCCCAGAUCGACAGUGUGCCAAUGUGGACUAAAGAUGUAGCAGUCCAGCACGGAAACCAGCGUCUACAGUGGGGCUGUCGAAUUCCAGUGUACACCGUUGCCGGCCUGAGUUAGAGACGCCCACAACGUGUGCCCUACUCGACACCACUCGGCUACGGUAUUACGGCGCAUGUUUUUCUUGGCACUAGGGUGACGUCUCAACACGUGACCGUGCACAUGUGACUACGCUGUCAUUGUUCGCCAGUGGGCACGACUACAGCGAAGGUGUCGACAUGCUGUGAGCGCUGUGCUAGCACGGAUUUGCAGAACACGGUUUGGUAGCUGCCGCCGGACCCGGAGUGUUGUGCCCAAGUAUGGCUGAAUGAUACCGGCCAGCGUCUGGCCACUCUCAUGGUCACUGUGCAACGUGAACUGGAGUAAGAAUGCCGCUUUGCAUGAAGAAUGCAAUAAUCAGCUGCCCAACGCUGCCAUCUGGAUAUCGACGGCACUUGUCUAUGACGGGGAAAACACAGUUGGAACCAUAAACGGCAUGACUGUGACAAGGAUAGCGCAGGACAUCCUUUGCCUCCACCGAACCAGCAACCGUCGUAAGACUCGGUAGCCCACGGGCCUGAACGUUUUACGUUUGAUAGGCAAGUAAAUGGAUAAAUAAAUUUGAUCGCUG